rnacentral:rRNA from 1 species
AUGAUUUUGCUAGUUGUCGGCAUGUUUUUGCGUGUGUAUGUGUUAGUGUUGGCUAUGUGCAUCUUAGCUAUGCAGAGGUUGGGUGUGUGUUCAUCAUGUUUUUGUAUCAUCUUGAUACUUCAUUUUGAGCAAAUAAAAUCCACCUUUGGUCAGGAAAAAAAUAGUUCCUCUGUUGCAAACUUAUGCAACACUACCCCUUGCAAUAUGCACACGACUCUCUGUCUUUGCAAAAAAAAGAUUCUGCAACAUGAUCGUUGUUGCAAAAUGACAACAGAGAAAAAAGGUUCAAAAAAGAUUUGCAACAAGGCUCUUGUUGCAAAAGGCGGCGCAACAAAGCUUUUGUUGCAGAGAUCAAAAGAAAAGAAAAUGGUCUGA